rnacentral:lncRNA from 1 species
GAUUGCCAGUUCCUGAGGGACGAAUGAAGGAUGGGAAGUUUCGGUCCAUCAAAGAUAAAAUUACGAAACGAUGUUCCGACUGGUCUCAAAAAUACUUGUCUAGCGCCGGCAAAGAGGUCAAUCUGUCAUACACGCAAUCCCGACCUAUGCUAUGAGUAUUUCCAAAUUUUCUGCUAACCUUUGUGAUGACAUAUCUCAUUUGUCUCGUGACUUUUGGUGGGGCGACGAAACAAAUCAGAAAAAGGUGCACUGGAUGGGCUGGGACAAGAUGAUCAAACCAAAACUGUACGACAGCAUUGGCUUUAGAGAUAUGCGUCUUUUCAAUCAAGCUUUAUUAGCUCGACAAGCUUGGCGUUUAUUGACGAUCCCAGACUCUCUCUGUGCCCGCCUUCUCAAAGCAAAAUAUUUCCCACAUGGUGAACUUACUGACACAGCCUUUGUAAAAAACACUUCAGUCUUCUGGCAGGGAAUCAUGCAUGGGCUUGAGUUGCUUAAAAGGGGUCUGAUUUGGAGGAUUGGUAAUGGCAGCAAAGUGCAGAUUUGGACAGAUAAUUGGAUCCCAUGGGGUAACCUCAAAGCCUCCGAUAAUACAGGUCGGUCCAGGCUACGUCGGGUGGCUGACCUUAUUGAUCAGGACAACAGGGUUUGGAAAGAGCCGCUAAUUCGAAACUUGUUCCAUAGUUUUGAUGUGGAUGAAAUCCUAAAUAUUCGUAUCCCCGAACAUCCCGGGGAGGACGUCAUAGCUUGGCAUCAUGAAAAAUCUGGAGUUUUUACUGUCCGUAGUGCUUACAAACUCACUCUAAACUUAGAGCUGGGCAGAUGGUCAAAGAAAGCUUUGGGACUUAAUCUGGAAGGCUCAGUUUCCUCCUAAAAUAAAGGUUUUCGGAUGGAAAUUGGCCACAAAUUCUCUUGCUGUGCAAACCAAUCGUCACCGCCGUUUCAAAAAUAUUUCAGAUAUUUGCUCAAUUUGUGGUCAGGAGCCUGAAGAUGGUUACCAUGCCGUGAUGUAAUGCACUAAGGCCAAAGCGUUGAGAGAUAGCAUCCGGAAGGGCUGGAUUUUGCCGCCUGAUUCUCACCUUCGCUACUCGGGCAGCGACUGGAUGCUAAUCCUCCUUGAUCAGGUGGAUAUUGGCUGCCGCUCAAAACAGUUAUUCCUCUGGUGGCGUGCAUGGCACCUGCGUAAUGACAUCAUUUUCGCCAAAGGUAAUGCCUCGGUGGAAGCCUCCGCUCAAUUCCUCUUCAGCUAUGCCGACUCCAUGUGGUUGAUCAAGAAUAAAGUUCUUGAACCAGAUCCCAAAGGUAAGACAAGCAUUGGUGUACAACCUGUGAUUCCAGCAACAGUUAAAAUUGUGCUUCCUUCAGCCUGGAAACCCCCUGAAACAGGAUGGAAUAAGCUCAAUGUGGAUGCCAGCUUUCAACAUAGCUUCAGAUCAGGUACUUGGGGUGCGGUUCUUCGUGAUGAACAUGGUUCUAUUAUUGUCACGGCCUGGGAUGUGAUCAACCAUUGUCCUUCUGCUGAGAUGGCGGAGGGCAUUGCCUGCCUGCAAGGCCUCAAGAUUGCGAGGCAGCACUCCUCUGCUCCCAUUAUUGUUGAAAGCGAUUGUAUUUCUUUGAUUCAGGCCCUCACUUCCCCCUCACAGAACCGUUCUGCUUCCUGUUUAGUUGUGGGUGACAUCCUUCGUUUCACCACUUCUGAUCGUAGUAUCCGUUUUCUUUUCACCAAGAGAGAGAACAACUCUGUAGCCCAUGAGCUCGCUAGUUUCUGUAGUAAGGUGUGCGUUGGAGGUGUGUUAUGUAACUCUGUGCCGUCCUGCAUGAUGCGCCAGAUUACGAAUGAUUGUAUGCAACUUGUCUCUUGAUUAAUUUACACACCUUCUCUCAAAAAAAAGAAACAGGCAUAUCUCGUGGCAUGGGAAAAUCAUCAUGGGGAAAAAUUGCAUCAUGUCCAUGCUACAGGAACGGCGCAGGUGCAUCCGAUAUGGAGGAAACUAUGGAAAUUGAGAAUACCGGCGAAGGUAAAAAAACUGUUGCAAGGGACUUUAUAAAGUUAUAUGCCACAUAGGAUGCAACAGUUUGAAAAUGUUGUUCGUUUCUUUUUGUUACUCACUAAUUACUCUUACAGCUCGUUUGGUAGCCCACAUUUCAUUUGGUAUAAACGAUACUGUAUUAGUUAACAUUUUGACCAGAUUUUAUUUGGUUGAAUUUGAAUUUCAAAAAUCAUGGUUGUUUGCCACAUGUUGUUGAUGUUAAGUGUAUAUGUAUAAAUCAGUAUAGCUUUUAGGUCCAUAUAGACUUUAGGCCCAAGGCCCAGGCCUUCCUAGUAUAUGUACUGGUUUUCAUUGUGAGAUAAUUGAUUUGGCUAUUUGUGACAUGGUAUCAGAGCUAGGGCAGCCAAAUCCCUAACCCUAGCCAUCAUCUAUCUCAUCGCCGGCGGCGGCCACCACCAUCCUUCGCUGCUGCUGCUGCUCUCUUUCCUCGUCCUCCUGCUGCUCUGCCUCAGCAGAGAGUAGGAGGGGACUGGUGCUUGCGGUCUGCCCCCUGCUGCUGCUCUGUUUCGUGGAGAAUAGGAGGGGUUUGCUGCUGCUGCUCCUCUCCGAUCUAUUGCUGCUGCUGCUGUGCUACCUCUCCUUGGAGGCAGUGAGGUAGCUGUUCUUCCCUUCUUGUUGUUGCUGCUCGAUUUGAGAAGGGGAUUCCUUGCUUGUGUUUUUUGUUGCUGCUCGAUUUGAGGAGGGGAUUGGCAGUGGUUGUUCCUCUUUGUUAUUGAACAUCCAAAGGAUCUUGAUUUGUCUCAGUUGUUGGCCUGCUGCUGUGCUACCUCUCCUUGGAGGCAGAAGGAAGUGUCUGCUGUUGUCAUUUGUGCUAGUGAACAUGGCAAAAGAUGGUCCAAUUUUCAACACAGAUAUCAAACUUGAUGGCUCCAACUACAGGGAGUGGGCUUUUUCGGUCAGGACUAUUAUCAGGGAUGUUGGUUAUGAUGACCAUCUCACUGAUGAUCCUCCUGAUGCAAAGGAGGAUGAAGCCAUGAGAAAGGCAUGGAAAAAGAUAGAUGCUAAGGUCAUGGAUGCUUUGAUUCUAAAUGUUGCUCCUCCUCUCAGGCUGAGUCUUGAGCAUCACUCAACUGCAAAAGAAAUUUGGAAGUACCUUCAACCUAGUGGAGCACUUCAACCUAGUGGAGCACUUCAGUUCUCUUUGUUGCAAAACUUGCACAACCUUCAGCAGCAGCAAGACAUGUCCAUAGAGGACUAUUAUGGAGCUUUUACUCGCAUCACUAGCCAACUUAUGUCAAUGACUCCAAAGAGUCAAUCUGGAUGUGAGGCUUGUUUGGCCAAGGAGAACUAUGAAGCACAGUCCUUCAUGUUUCAGUUUGUGAUGAGGCUCCGACAGGAAUUUGAGAAUAAUCGCACACAGCUGCUUGGUCGUCCUACACCUCCUUCUUUGGAUGAAGCACUUGCUAGUUUGAUUGCUGAGGAGACUCGUCUUCGCUCCCUUGCCUCAUCAUCAACCACUACUCAUGUGACUCACAAUAGUGUUCUUGCAGCUCCUCGAGGUUUGUUCAGAGGUUCUUCUUCAGGAAUUGUCUGUCCUCAUUGUAAGAAGACUGGACACACAGCUGAUAGCUGUUUUUCUCUUAUGGUAUGUUCUCACCGCAAGAAGUCUGGGCAUACAGCUGAUGGAUGUUUUGCUCUUCACCCACAGUUGUUGGCUGAAUAUUGUAAGAAGUUUCCUGUCCAACAACAAUAUCGUCACCCACUUGCUAAGAAAUCUUCUGCUGUUGUGAUCGCUGAGCCACACCAUCCAGCAUCGAGUGCCUCUGUGUCUGCUGCUUCUCAGUCAGCUUCUUGUGUUACUCAGCCUUGGGUGCUUGAUUCGGGAGCUUCUUUUCAUGUCACCUCUGAUCGUUCCCAACUUGUGUCAUGCCACCCAGUUAAAAAUGGUGCCUCUGUUCAUACCGCUGAUGGUACACCUUGUUCUGUCGCUCGUCAGGGUUCUCUUUGCACAUCCAAGUUUUCAGUUCUUGACAUUUCUUUUGUUCCAUGAGUCUUAUGUCUGUUGGUCAAAUUGCUGAUAUGGACUACUUCGUUGGUUUUAACAAAACCUCUUGUUAUGUGCAUGAUCUUCAGAGCAAAAGGUUCAUUGGUACUGGCCGUCGCCGUAGAGGACCCACAUCCCUCUACGAACUUGACAAUCUCCACCUUCCUUCAACUUCUGCACCAUCUAUUUCAUCUACCUCAAUAUCGAGAUCCGCUGCGUCGUUUUCUUUUGCCCAGUGGCAUCAUCAUUUAGGUCAUCUAUGUGGUUCCCACUUAUCUAGUCUUGUUCAGCAAGGUGUUUUGGGUCGUGUGCCUGUAGAUGCUGGUUUCCAUUGCAAGGGUUGUAAACUAGGGACACAGAUACAACUUCCAUAUCCUUCCAGCACAGUUGCCCUUUGGAUUUAGUGCACUCUGAUGUAUGGGGUCCCUCCCCAUUUGUCUCAAAGGGUGGUCACAAACAUUAUGUCAUAUUUAUUGAUGAUCACUCUCGAUAUACUUGGGUUUAUUUUAUGAAACAUCGUUCCCAGUUGAUUUCUAUAUAUCAGGCUUUUACACGGAUGGUCCAUACUCAGUUUUCUAGUGCUAUUCGUGUUUUUCGCUCUGACUCGGGGGGGGGGGGGGAUAUUUGUCUACAGCUUUUCGUGAGUUCCUUUCUUCUAAAGGUACCCUUCCUCAGCUCUCUUGUCCUAGUGCUCAUGCUCAGAAUGGUGUUGCUGAGCGUAAGCAUCGCCAUAUAAUUGAGACAGCUCGUACACUUAUGAUUUCUUCUUUUGUCCCUACUCAUUUCUGAGGUGAAGCUAUCUCCACGGAUGUGUAUCUCAUAAACAUCUAGCCCUCUUCUCGUCUUCAGGGCAAGUGUCCUAGUGAAGUUUUGUUUGGUUCUCCUCCCACGUAUGAUCAUCUUCGUGUUUUCGGUUGUACAUGCUAUGUUCUGUUAGCACCUCAUGAGCGUACCAAGUUAACUGCCCAGUCUGUUCAGUGUGUUUUUCUUGGAUAUAGUCUUGAGCAUAAGGUGUAUUGUUGUUAUGACCCUUCGGCUCGUCGUAUUCUCUUUUCUCGUGAUGUCAGUUUUGUUGAGGAUCAACCCUUCUUCUAUUCCUCUUCCACUAAAUCACCAUCCUCCACCUCCUUUCUUUCUCUUCCACCUAUCUUCUCUCCAGAUGAGUCUGAUCAAUCAUCUCCCGGUUCACCUCCAGACCCACCUUCACCACGAGACUCCCCUUUGCAAUCACACUCCUCACCACCUCCAUCAGCUCCACCACUUUUAGAUUCUUUUCCUUUUGUUUACAGUCGUCGUCCCGGAGCAUCUCAUGAUGCUCAGUCAUCAAUUCCUUUGUCCUCUACUCCUAAGGCCAUUACUACUGAUCCUUGCACUAAGGAUUCCUCUCAAACAAGCAGGUAUGCUCUUCGUGACCGUUCCUCCCUUGAGCUUCCAAACAGAUACAAAAAUGAUUUCUGUGUAGGUGCGGUCAGUGAGCCUAGCAAUUAUCAGGAGGCUGUCAUGUUGCCUGAGUGGCAGUUGGCUAUGUCUGAGGAGCUUGCAGCCCUCGAGAGUACUGGUACAUGGGAUCUAGUACCAUUACCUCCUCGGACAGUCCCUAUCACAUGCAAAUGGGUAUACAAGGUAAAAGCCAAGUUAGAUGGUUCUGUUGAGUGCUAUAAGGCUCGACUUGUUGCUAGAGGUUUUCAGCAAACUCAUGGAAGAGACUAUGAUGAGACUUUUGCUCCUGUUGCUCAUAUGACCUUUGUCCGCACACUGAUUGCUGUGGCUGCAGCUCGGUCAUGGAAAUUAUCUCAGAUGGAUGUAAAAAAUGCUUUCCUGCAUGGGGAUCUACAUGAGGUAGUCUAUAUGCAACCACCUCAUGGUGUUGAAGGCCCAUCUGGUCAUGUUUGUCGUCUUCGAAAGGCUCUCUAUGGGCUCAAACAAGCCCCUUGUGCUUGGUUUGAGCAAUUCGGUUAUGUGGUUCAAGCUGCAGGCUUCUCUUCCAGUGAGCAUGACCCUGCACUUUUCACUCAUACAUCUGACCGUGGUCGAACUUUACUUCUGCUCUAUGUGGACGAUAUGUUGAUCACUGGAGAUGAUCAGGAGUACAUUGCUUUUGUUAAGAAAAAGCUGAGUGAGCAAUUCAAGAUGUCAGAUUUGGGGUCUCUUAGAUACUUUCUCGGAAUUGAGCUUGACCGUACUGAUGACGGUUACUAUCUCUCUUGGCAUCGCUAUACUCAAGAUUUGAUCUCGCGCUCAGGUCUUACUGAUACACGUACUGCUACUACACCUAUGGAGCUACAUCUGCAAUUGCGCCCCACUGAUGGUAUUCCCCUUGAGGAUCCCUCUCGGUAUCGUCAUCUUGUAGGCAGCCUUGUGUACCUCACUGUGACUCGACCAGACAUUACUCAUGUUGUUCACAUUCUCAGUCAGUUUGUUAGUGCCCCUACCUCAGCUCACUAUGGCCACUUGCUUCGUGUUCUUCGGUAUUUGAGGGGGACAUCAUCACGCAAAUUAUUCUAUGCUCGCUCUAACCAGCUUCAGCUUCAUGCUUACACAGACUCAACUUGGGCGAGUGAUCCACUUGACCGUCGUUUGUCACUGGCUAUUGCCUCUUUCUUGGCACUUCUCUCAUUGCAUGGAAGUCUAAGAAACAAACAGCUGUGUCUCGUUCUAGUGCUGAAGCUGAACUUCGUGCCAUUGCCACUGUCACAUCGGAGAUUGUAUGGCUUCGGUGGCUACUAGCUGAUCUAGGAGUCUCGUGUGAUGCACCCACAAAUGUUCUUUGUGAUAGUACAUCUGCUAUUCAGAUUGCAAAUGAUCCUGUCAAGCAUGAGCUAACCAAGCAUAUCGGUGUGGAUGCCUCUUUUACCCGCUCACACUGUCAACAAUCAACCAUCCGUCUUCAAUAUGUCCCCUCGGAGCUUCAAGUGGCAGAUUUCUUCACAAAGCCCCAAACCAGAGAACAACAUCAUCUUCAUAUUCUCAAACUCAAUGUUUCAGAUUCGCCUUGAAUUUGAGGGGGGGGGGGGUGUUAAGUGUAUAUGUAUAAGUUAGUAUAGCUUUUAGGUCCAUAUAGACUUUAGGCCCAAGGCCCAGGCCUCCCUGGUAUAUGUACUGGUUUCCAUUGUGAGAUAAUUGAUUUGGCUAUUUGUGACAGUUGAAUCAUAGACAAUUUCAGAUAAAUGAUGUCUUUUAGAGAGAAAUUGGGAUUAGGUAUAGAUGUGACUAUGAAAUUUCAAAUGAAUUCAUGUACCCAAUUCUAUAUUAGGCAAAUAAGUUGGUUUGUGUUAUCUAUAAUGAAUUUCUUUUUUCUAGAAUACACCCAAUCAGGUGUAUCAGAUUCAAGGAGUAUGUUACGAUGCAGCUAGAAACCCUUAGAGGGGCUGUUACAAUCAAUAGUUCUCUCACACCAUUCCACCGAAAAGCUACAUAUCCCAGUCCCACCAAUAAGAUUAGCGCUAUACCAAGCUUGGGCCUCUAUACAUAUACUCGAGAGGAUGUCCAGCACAUCCAUGGAGACUCCAUCAAAGACGCCCCUGUUCCUGGCUUUCCAGAUGGACCAAAGCACUAGGGUGGAAGUUGUCGCAAAAGCACUUCAGGGCUUGCCAACCAAGAGGAUUGAAGACCACAAAUCCGUGAGCUCCAAACCAGCAACAGGAGUCCAACUGCUAAGACCCCAUCGCCGAAGAAUCUUAGUACAGAUUUUCCUCACCACCACACAUGCAUCCCACGAGCAGGUGGGAGAUGUCUUCUUGAUCUUGAUCACAUAAAAGGGCAUCUCUCGGGGUGAUCCAAACCGUGGCGCUGGAGACGGUCAACUAUCCAACAUCGACCACGGCAAGCAAGCCAAUCGAAGAUUUUGCAUUUUGUUGGCGCCUUGGAGUUUUAAACCAUGUCCGCACCCAACAUGCCCAUCUUUACUUCAAAGAGAGCAAGAUAGGCAGAUUGGGCCGUGAACGAACCCAAGCUAGACCAUGUCUAUCUAAAGCAAUUGGAGCUCUGGGACCGUUUGAGCCAGGUGGUUUUGAUCUAUAAUGAAUUUCAUGAUUCUAGUUCCAAAUGAUAGGAGCCAAAUGAAUGGUUAUCUGCAUUAUUUACUCAUAGCCAUCGUGCGCUCGUGCUUAUGUUUGGUGCAGGAAUGACCGGACAGCCAACGAUUGGAUUGCAUGCGUGCUAGAUAUUGAUGGGUUUAAUUGGCGCUAAAUAAGAUAUAAUAAGGUUAUGCUGUUGUUUUAUGCUUCCUCUGUCCCAUUUUAAAUGAAUUUCUAUUACAUGUAUCUAGACGACGUAUCCAGCGAAAACUCCCGGCUAAUGAAAACCCGAACACUUCUGUCAUGGGCCGUUAGAUCAAAAAUGUAGGGGUCAGAUCAAAAGUGGGAUUCCCUCAUUUCACUUAAACACCUUUAUGGAAAACCCCCUGCCAUUUACCUUUUUCUUAGAAAAAAGAUUCACCGAACAAGGAAGAAGAAAGGAUGAAUCGUCUUCGAUCCGUCUGGCCCUAGCGACGCAGCCGCCUCCCCAGCGCCGGCGGAGCCGCCAGCACCAUCCUCCUCCGCGACGCCGAAGGCCGCCUCCGUGACCGCAACUCCGAUCCCCCACCCGACGGCGACCUGCUCCUUCGCGUCCGUACCCGAGCGUCGGGUCUGUCCCUCCGGCGACUUCGAUCCCCACCCGCCGGCGCUGCAACUACUGCAGCGACGAGUACCUCCGCCCCUAGAGCCCUAACGUGACGGCGUCCGUCAUCUUCUCCGCGACGGGCGACGGCCCCUGCUGUUUUCCCGUCGGCGACCUCCCAUGCUGUUCUCUGUAACUGAAGAAAGGCACCCUGAAGAAAUUUGUUUUGCUGUAUUCCAACGGUGGAUGUAUAGUCCAGCCUUUUGUUCUCGUAUUGCUGUUGUACAGAUUUAAAUUACGGGUGUAAUAAUCUUCUGAUCCAGGCACCAGCAGUCUAUAAAAUUGUACAAUAUUAUGUUGUUGAAUUGCAAAGCUCUUGCACCUUAUCUUGCAAUUGUACAGUACUCUAUAGUUUGCUCUCUGGGAAAUGGUGCUCACAUCUCAUUCUGGUAUCAUCAAUCGAUUCCAGAUGGCAGGUUAUACCCAACUCUCUUGACCUUUGCAAUGCUUAGUCUUCUCCCAGUUUGAAUAAUCUUGUUCAAUCUCCUACAUCACGGCAGUACAGGACCAGAGGAUGACCACAUGAGGACGAGGCAUCACGGCCGGCGUCUGGCGAGCGCUGCUGCCGGUGGCCUGCGCGGGGCGGGGAAUCACGGGCAGAGGGCACAGGAUGCCGGACGUGGCAGAUUGAGGGCCUGGGUGAGGGCGCAACUCCGUGGGUGGCGUCAGAGAGGGAAGGAAGACGGUCAGCGGAGAGCCGGCGUCGACGCACGGAGGAAGGCGAGGAUCCAUAGCGAUCGAUUUCUCCUCGCGACAUAUCAAUUUCUCCAGUCGUUCGUUUUCCAGAUGAAUCGUUACGUGAAGUGGAGGAAAGGGCAAGGAGGUUUCUGUAAAACAUCUUUAAGUGGCCGGUGGGAAUCCCACCUCUGAUCUGAGCCCUACGCUUGGGAUCCAGUGGCCUAUCACAGAAGUUUUCAAGUUUUCGCUGAAUGGGAGUUUUCACCGGAUAUAUCGCCAUGUAUCUAGAUGCAUUUUGCAUAUGGAUAUAUUCAUAUUUAGCCAAAUUUAAGUCACUUAAUAUGGACAACACACGGAACGGAAGGGAGCCCCGAAUUUCUAUGGAUUGAUAUUUUACAUUCUACUACGUUCAGCAGAAAUUUUAGUAUUAACUACAACUUCCUUUUGUACUCUGUUAGGAUUAACCACAUGAUUGUUCAUAUGUUUUGUAAUUCUCUAUUUUUUUUUAAAAUCAUUAUAGUCCUUUGCAUUAAAGCGACUCGCAGGAGCCCUUUUUUUAGAUGGUGGACUCGGAGAAGACCUGACUCGAAAAAGACCAUACCACUAGACACGGUUCAACAACUGUCCUAUCUAGUUCUGAAACAAUUUGAUUAGGGCAGCAGAUUUCACAAACGAGCCAUUCAUUUUUUGGAAAGAAAGAACGAGCCAUUAAACGUCUCACCACGCACUCACAAAAUUAGAAGGAAAAACGUCCAAACAAGGAGCUAAUAAAAUAUGGUAACAAUUGAAUUCGAAAUUCAAACGUUCAAAACGCUGUAGCCCUUGAGCCCUCCCAUUUACACAGUAGGUAUUGGCGAGACUUUUGGCCAAUCCCAGAAACAAUUUCCCGAAGCACACAUCAUUGCCUACCCUGGCAUGUGGGCCAGGCAUAAGUCCCUCUACUGGCUCUGCCCUGUCACCGCAUCCCGCGAAGGCGUGCAUCCACUCUCCAUUCUCCACUACCACCACGUGCGCCGUAACUUUCAACUCAGCCGUAUCAACCCACCUUCACUGACAGGUGGCCCAAGCUUCCUUCGAAGAUUCUGUUUGAGCCCACCUGCCAUUCUUAGAACUAGGUUCGCAACGCUCACCUUUGCAUCUGCCAGGGUAGAUGAGCGAUGUCGUCACCGCACGCGGUGAGUCGGCCUUUAAAACCGCCGCAUCGCGCACUGGCACAAAUACACAAAUCUAACCGUUGGGUUUCGCGGCCUUCUUCCCCCUCUUCCCCAUUUUCCCCCCAAAACCUCGCCGCCACACCAACCCGGGGAAGAGAGAGAGAAACCCUCAAUCGCCGCCGGAAGGAGCCAUGGUGAGCACCAGGGCCACGGCCACCACGGAUCCCUUGGCCGCGGCGCUGCCGAAGCGUCGCGGCCGGCCGCCGAAGGUCCCGCUGACUUCGGAGGCGAAGGCGGCGGAGGAGGAGCCGCCGCCGAGGAGCCCGUCGCCGGUGUCCCCGCUGGCGGCGGCGGCGGAGAGCUACGAACGGGAGAGGGAGGCGAGGAUCCGGGAGAACAUGGAGCGCAUGCAGCAGCUGGGCCUGCUCGACCUCGCCACCCGCUUCAACCAGUCCGCUACCCCUAGCGGGCGCCGCCGCUGGCAGCGGAAGCCGGAGACGCCGGGAUCCGACGGUGCCGCUCCCAGGAUGAAGCCCGCCAACCCGACGCCCACGCGCCGGUCCCUCAGGUUUUGCAGCGAAUCUUGUUCCCCGCCGAACCUUCUAUUGUCUGUUUCCUGGGGCUUUGGAUUCUUGCGGGAACUACUCCUGUUUAUAGGUUGACUAUGGAUGCAUCAUACCGUAAGCAUUGCCCCUUUUGUGCAGUUUAGUAUUUGUGCAUCUAUAAUUACAUGCACAUAUCCUCAAGUAAUCCUUGGUGUUUCGUUUCUUGCAUAUGAUUUAUUAAUAAUAUGACUUUAACACUGGACAUCUUAUCAAAGGGUAAACUACUGCAUAAAGUACUGCGUGGCAUUAAAUCAAAUACUGUAUCUCUUAUUGCUUCAUACUUUAACCUUCUUGAAAGUCUUGUUUCAGUGUUAAAUGUCUAACUUUUACUGCUAAUUUUGGUAGUAGUAUUUUCUCCCCAUUUAGUACUGCUUACCGUCUAAAAUUGUUAUAACACCAUUUCUUAGUUUCUUGAAGAUGCAUUGCUUUCUCAUGGGAUAUUUAUUGAAUUCAUGCCACAAGUUCAUAUUCAGUAGUGUUGUCUCCAUUUUCUGUCUUUCUCUUGAAUAACCCUUCAUGUCUAUACGAUGAUUAAUUUCAGUCUAGUUGGUUAAUAAACUGAUAUUCAUUUCCUUCAGUCACAAACCUUUAUUGCAGAGCCCCUUUUGUGAUAGUGAUGUGGAUCUUUGUUGUUUGGAAUCAUGUUUAAUUUAGGUUGAAGGAUGUGGAGCCAGUUAGCUAUGUUGAAAUUCGCACAAAAGUGGAGAAGGAUCUUGAAGGUGGAAGUUCUUUCUCAAUUGAGGAAGGAUGCAAGGAAGAAGUUUACACUGAAGAGCAUGAGAAACUUUUAGGUACAUGUGAGACACCAUGGACUCUCUUUGUUGACGGUUAUGGCAAAGACGGUAAGCGCAUCUAUGAUCAAGCGAGGGGCCAAACCUGUCAUCAGUGCCGGUAAGUUUUCCUUGAAAGUCUGUUUGGUGCAGGUUCCUUUGAUAGGCCAUUUACAAAUCUGCAGUUUGCUGAUUCUUAUAUAAGGUGAAAAAGGCGUAUGAUAAUCUUAAAGUAAAGUAAAAAGAAAAACAUGGAAGUUUCAAGUUGAAGUUCUAACAUAAAUAGCAACACAUGGACCUUCUAUAUAAGAAUCAUAUUUACUUUAAACUUCUCUCUUUAUUUUAUCUGGCUGACUCCGUGUUAUUGUUAUCCUUAGGAUGUAUGAAUUUUGUAUAAGAUGUAGAACAUUGCUUAAGAUGCAUGAUGUAUAACUGUUAGUAACAUUUUUACUGUUUGUCAUCUAUGUUUAAUCUCGACAUAAAUUAUGCUUCCAUGAUACAGACAGAAAACUUUGGGUCAUCAUACAAGGUGCUGCAAAUGCCAGAUUGUCCAAGGGCAGUUCUGUGGAGAUUGUUUGUACAUGAGGUGAGUUUUUUCAACAAUUUAACAUUGGUUUUCUACUAGGGGAAAUGAAACAUUCAAUCGUUCAUUCCUUUACUGUGAGCUGUGCUUUUUUCCUGCAUGUUUGUUACUGAUCUGGCAAUCUAGGACUAUGUGCGCAUUAAUGUUUUGUGGACAUACUUCUGUUUCCACCAUCUUUGCUACUUAAAUGUUCAACGCUAGUUGUUUUGGCAAUCUAUUAUUAUCUUACAUUAAUGUAUUGUGGACACUGCAUCUUUGUCACUAAAAUGUUUAAGGACGAUAAUGCAUGACCUGUGAGAGGGGGCUAUACAAGUUUUUAUUUGCGUGUUUAACAAAAAGGUUGGUACUAUUCAAGUUACAUGAACACAAAAAUGAAAGGUCUUCUGACUUGCAGUUUGUUUAUAUAAUGUAAUUUCUAAUGUUUAAGUUAUGAAAUUGGAUUCGUGAAUUUUUGAAAGCUGUGGCAUGCAAACGUAAAGGGCUCGGUAUUUUAUCUUGAAUUCUGUGGAGACAUCCCCUGACAUAUAUCUAUCACUUCCACUCUAUUUUGUUACUAUAUCUAAACUUUGAAGCUACCAACCCAGCUCUGCUUUAUUAUCCCCCUAAGGCUCUUCAUUUUUUUUUUCAUUUGGUUAUCAUUUUUUGGGCUGACAUUUUUUAACUAAUGCAGGUAUGGUGAGAAUGUGCUAGAAGCUAACAGCAAUCCCAAUUGGACCUGUCCAGUUUGUCGUGGCAUUUGCAAUUGCAGUAUCUGUAGAACUAAGAAAGGAUGGUUUCCUACUGGCAAUGCGUAUCGGAAGGUACAAAUACUGCAGCACAUCCGUCAACAAGUACAAGAAAUGUCAUUUGAAUUAAAAAAAAUUCCAUGAACGUUAGUUAUAGUUUUGAAUGUUCAUACUGUGGCUUGUUUCUCCAACAGCUCUAAAGCAAGCAUUGCUUGUUCUAUACUGCAGGUUGUCAGGCUUGGGUACAAAUCUGUGGCACAUUACCUCAUUGAAACACAGCGAUCAUCAGCUACCUCAGGGGAUUCAAGCUCAGCUUACUCCUCAAACGAGUUGCCUUCUUCCAAGUCAGAAACCUCGUCUGUUUCUGAGCAUGCUCCAGUUGUCAAGGAGGGACUGAAGGAUGCUGACUUGAGCAGCAAAGUGAUGAAUGAUGUUGGUGCAAAUGACCAGAAUAAAGGAAACGAAAAGCCAGCAGCCAAAGAUGAAGCCAAGGCCCUAGGGAAGAUUACUGAUGUCUGCAAGGAUGCUGACUUGAGCAGCGAAGUGAUGAAUGAGGUUGGUGAAAUUGACCACAAUGAAGGAAACGAAAAGUCAGCAGUCAAAGAUGAAGCCAAGGCCCUAGUGAAGAUUACUGAUAUCUGCAAGGAUGACGGGAAAAGUGAGUCGGUGACAUCUGAUUCUCUGGAAUGUCAGGCUAGCCAGGACAUUGGCUGCGUCACUCCAUCUAAGCCUGAGCGAAAGAAGAGGAAGCUGGUCGAACGAAGCCCCGACUGUGUCGCAAGCAGACUGCGGUCCCGGUCUGCCAAGUCAUGAAGACUUGACCUUAUGAGCAGCACAACUCCUUUUGCUAUGCUAUUACCUUGUACCGACCCAAGGUUCAUGGUGUCUGUUGGUUUGAUCGUCGUCAUUUAGUUCCAGUAUGUAAUAUGUAAUGGUGGUGCUCCACCCUUUUGCAAAGUUGCACUGCAGCUUAAGCAAGCAGACUGCGGUCCCGGUCCGCCAAGUCAUGAAGACUUGACCUUAUGAGCAGCACAACUCCUUUUGCUAUGCUAUUACCUUGUACCGACCCAAGGUUCAUGGUGUCUUUUGGUUCGAUCGUCGCCAUUUAGUUCCAGUAGGUAAUUGUGGUGCUUCACCCUUUUGCAAAGUUGUGCUGCAGCUUAAGCAAUGAU